rnacentral:lncRNA from 1 species
AUUAUGUCUCUUAUUCAUAGAGUUUGUGCUUUGACUAUCCCUAUACCUAGCAAGUUCAUUUGAUUCCAUAUUUAGGGUAUUUAGACAGAUGAGUUGUUAUUGUCAUUAUAUUGUUACUUCUUUCCUUAGGCAAAAGUUGUUGUUUAGAUUCAGGUAUAUUUCCUAGAUAAUCCUACAUAUGUGAGAACAUAUCAUAAAUCUACAGUUUUAUUUAAAAUUGUUUGCUUGUUCUCGACAUUUUUCUGUCACCCAGAUAAUGGUGUCACAGAACAUAUAAGUUCAUUAUUUAUUUUUACUUAUUAUUGUGUCUGGUUAUUGGCAUACAUCUGCUGUAGCAACAUGCUAUAACUAGCGAAUACCAGCACGAAUCAAUUUUAUUUAGUCACCGAAUUCCUUUAGUCGAUAUACUUUAGGUAUUUAUCUUAUUAUCGGUUUAAUUGAUUACAUCUCUGUUGGUUAGUAUGGAUAAGUGUGACAUACAUUACCUCACACUUUGUUCAUUUUUUUUGUUUAUUAGAUUGGGUUCAUGGAUGCUAUGGUAACUCGAUAUCAGGAUGGAAUCGAUCUAU